rnacentral:tRNA from 1 species
GCCGGGGUGGCGGAAUUGGUAGACGCGAAGGACUUAAAAUCCUUUUCCGAAUCUUUGGAGUACCGGUUCGAUUCCGGUCCUCGGCA